rnacentral:rRNA from 1 species
CACGUAGGGCGCAAGCGUUGUCCGGAAUUAUUGGGCGUAAAGAGCUCGUAGGCGGUCUGUUGCGUCCGCUGUGAAAACUCGGGGCUUAACCCCGAGCCUGCAGUGGAUACGGGCAGACUAGAGGUAGGUAGGGGAGAAUGGAAUUCCCGGUGUAGCGGUGAAAUGCGCAGAUAUCGGGAAGAACACCCGUGGCGAAGGCGGCUCUCUGGAACGCAACUGACGCUGAGACACGAAAGCGUGGGUAGCAAACAGG